CAGCCCUCAGGUCCUAUUUGUUUAGGGCUCUGGUGUUGGGGAGCUGCUCUUUAGCUAAAGAGCAGUCCCUGAAAUUUACUGGCGUACUCGCUAUCGUACUCUUUGCGUAGUGGAUUUACAAAUUUCGCACCGAGACGUGGUGAUGUCCAGCCACUAAACUAUCUUUCUUACAGAAC
rnacentral:misc_RNA from 1 species